CUAACCAGCCUUCACACUCGACGUCAGCUCCAGGAUGAGGGCCUUUCCUUCUUCAAGCUCGUUCGCCGAGGGGACCUGGCUCAGACGCUGCUCAUAGAGAGCAACCAGCUUGUUUGUGGCAGCUAUCGCCUACCGAAAGCAAAACCGAAAGUCACAACUAGCGUAAAGAUAUAAAUUAGAAGGAGACAGUUAUCGAUAAUUACCUGGCCCUCCUUCGCCAUCAUGUCAGCAUAGGCCGCCGCCUCGGCCAUGUUCUUCACUCCAGGAACCUGGCAGUUCCUCCCUUUGAUAUGGCGAAGCAGGUUCGCUAACCCAGCCUCGUCCUCAACGAUCGGGUGAUCACGAUCGUGUGUGUAAGACCAGUGGAAAGGCCUACUUCCCGCGGAUCCUCCGCCGGAGUUGGACGUCUGCCUCACUUCCUGAGACCGGUUUGAAGACCGGCCCCCACCUCUGGAGCCUCGUCCUCCGCCAUGGGACUUGCCCGAGGAUCGCCUAUCUGCGGACGCAGCUGCCUCCGGAGUAACAGCCGCAGGUUCCAUCCUCUCCUCUCUAGGAGAGGCGACCCUCUGGUCGCUCACGACCAACUCAGCCGCCGGAUUCACCUCCGGCUGGGUCCGAGCCCUCUUCGGAGAGGACGGUGCACCAUCAGAACGAACAACUGUAGAUGGCCCAAAUACCUGAGCGACCUGAUUGUUAUCCGAUUGACCUGCUGCAGCUGAGAUCCCAGCGUUGAGCUCAGGAAGCGAGGGAUGAGAUGCUGAGGCAGAUGCGCUGGAAACAGCUAGAGUGUUUCGAGCCGCAGUCACUGCAACCGACAAAUCACCGGCACGAGCGGGAGCCCAGGCGUUGACUCGUUGAACACGAAGGCUUGGACGCCUCAUUCUUCUGAUGAGCGGGAGUUCUGAAGUGGAGCUGGAGUCAGGAGGAACUGAGUAGAUAGAGCACGACAUUUGUUAGUAACCAAUUCAAGUUGCGCAACUGUCUCAAUAACUCGUACUUUU
rnacentral:sRNA from 1 species